GUUGGGACGGUGGUUAGUUACUCCUAUUGACUGGUAGAGAGGUUAAAGAGGUUGGGACGGUGGUUAGUUACUCCUAUUGACUGGUAGAGAGGUUAAAGAGGUUGGGACGGUGGUUAGUUACUCCUAUUGACUGGUAGAGAGGUUAAAGAGGUUGGGACGGUGGUUAGUUACUCCUAUUGACUGGUAGAGAGGUUAAAGAGGUUGGGACGGUGGUUAGUUACUCCUAUUGACUGGUAGAGAGGUUAAAGAGGUUGGGACGGUGGUUAGUUACUCCUAUUGACUGGUAGAGAGGUUAAAGAGGUUGGGACGGUGGUUAGUUACUCCUAUUGACUGGUAGAGAGGUUAAAGAGGUUGGGACGGUGGUUAGUUACUCCUAUUGACUGGUAGAGAGGUUAAAGAGGUUGGGACGGUGGUUAGUUACUCCUAUUGACUGGUAGAGAGGUUAAAGAGGUUGGGACGGUGGUUAGUUACUCCUAUUGACUGGUAGAGAGGUUAAAGAGGUUGGGACGGUGGUUAGUUACUCCUAUUGACUGGUAGAGAGGUUAAAGAGGUUGGGACGGUGGUUAGUUACUCCUAUUGACUGGUAGAGAGGUUAAAGAGGUUGGGACGGUGGUUAGUUACUCCUAUUGACUGGUAGAGAGGUUAAAGAGGUUGGGACGGUGGUUAGUUACUCCUAUUGACUGGUAGAGAGGUUAAAGAGGUUGGGACGGUGGUUAGUUACUCCUAUUGACUGGUAGAGAGGUUAAAGAGGUUGGGACGGUGGUUAGUUACUCCUAUUGACUGGUAGAGAGGUUAAAGAGGUUGGGACGGUGGUUAGUUACUCCUAUUGACUGGUAGAGAGGUUAAAGAGGUUGGGACGGUGGUUAGUUACUCCUAUUGACUGGUAGAGAGGUUAAAGAGGUUGGGACGGUGGUUAGUUACUCCUAUUGACUGGUAGAGAGGUUAAAGAGGUUGGGACGGUGGUUAGUUACUCCUAUUGACUGGUAGAGAGGUUAAAGAGGUUGGGACGGUGGUUAGUUACUCCUAUUGACUGGUAGAGAGGUUAAAGAGGUUGGGACGGUGGUUAGUUACUCCUAUUGACUGGUAGAGAGGUUAAAGAGGUUGGGACGGUGGUUAGUUACUCCUAUUGACUGGUAGAGAGGUUAAAGAGGUUGGGA